rnacentral:pre_miRNA from 1 species
GCUGGCAGGGCCACAACCAGUGCAGACUGGUGUGCCCCAGACAUCUCUGGGCAAGUAUCUCUUUGAGCGGCUCACUCUCAAGCACGACUAGGAGGCCUCUGAGCCUUCC